CAGUAGCCGCGGUAAUACGUAGGUGGCAAGCGUUGUCCGGAAUUAUUGGGCGUAAAGGGCUCGCAGGCGGUUUCUUAAGUCUGAUGUGAAAGCCCCCGGCUCAACCGGGGAGGGUCAUUGGAAACUGGGAAACUUGAGUGCAGAAGAGGAGAGUGGAAUUCCACGUGUAGCGGUGAAAUGCGUAGAGAUGUGGAGGAACACCAGUGGCGAAGGCGACUCUCUGGUCUGUAACUGACGCUGAGGAGCGAAAGCGUGGGGAGUGAACAGGAUUAGAUACCCGGUAGUCCCUGUCUCUUAUACA
rnacentral:rRNA from 1 species